CUGGUUGAUCCUGCCAGUAGUGAUAUGCUUGUUUCAAAGAUUAAGCCAUGCAUGUCUAAGUAUAAGCGAACUUAUACAGUGAAACUGCGGAUGGCUCAUUAAAACAGUUUGAAUUUAUUUGAUGAAUGUAUGAGAAUACUACUUGGAUAACCGUAGUAAUUCUAGAGCUAAUACAUGCAACGACGCCCGACCGUUUCACUACGGAAGGGCUGUAUUUAUUGGAUACCAAAACCAUCCUUCCCUCGGGAAGUUUUGUUUGAUGAUUCACAAUAACUGAUCGGAUCGCCACUGUGGUGGCGACAGGUCAUUCAACAUUCUGCCCUAUCAGCUUUCGAUGGUUGUGUAGUGGACAACCAUGGCCAUAACGGGUAACGGAGAAUCAGGGUUCGAUCCCGGAGAAGGAGCUUGAGAAUUGGCUACUACAUCUAAGGAAGGCAGCAGGCGCGCAAAUUACCCAAUCCCGAUUCGGGGAGGUAGUGACAAAAAAUAACAAUACCGGGCCUUUUUGGGCUUGGUAAUUGGAAUGAGGGAGAGUUAAACGGACCAUCGAGUAUCCAUUGGAGGGCAAGUCUGGUGCCAGCAGCUGCGGUAAUACCAGCUCCAAUAGCGUAUAUUAAAGUUGUUGCAGUUAAAAAGCUCGUAGUUGGACUUGUGUGCGCUGUCCGCGGGUGGCCUGCGCCCAAAAGGGCGUUUCGGUUCGGCCCCGGUGGCGCCUUGAAAUCUGCAGCUGGGGGGACGUUGGCCUUAACUGGUCGGCGACCGCACGCCGGCUGCUCGGUUACUGUGAGAAAAUUAGAGUGUUCAAGGCAGGCAUUGGGUGCAAUUGAAUACAUUAGCAUGGAAUAAUAAAAUAUGGCUCCUGCCGUAUUUUGUUGGUUUUGACUGGUGGGAGUAAUGAUUGAUAGGGACGGUUGGGGGUGCUAGUAUUGAGCGGCCAGAGGUGAAAUUUAUGGGUUCGCUCAAGACUAACUUAUGCGAAAGCAUUCACCAAGGACGUCCUCUUUAAUCAAGAACGAAAGUUGGGGGAUCGAAGACGAUCAGAUACCGUCGUAGUCUCAACCAUAAACUAUGUCGACUUGGGAUCGGCGGUAGUUUUUUCAUUAAGACACUGUCGGGACCACGGGAGAAAUCAAAGUGUCUGGACUCUGGGGGAAGUAUGGUCGCAAGGCUGAAACUUGAAGGAAUUGACGGAAGGGCACCACCAGGAGUGGAGCCUGCGGCUUAAUUUGACCCAACACGGGGAAACUUACCAGGUCCAGAGAUGUAGAGGAUUGACAGAUUGAAGCUCUCU
rnacentral:rRNA from 1 species